rnacentral:lncRNA from 1 species
CACAAACCUAAAAAUAUCUAAGACAGGAAAGCGGACCUUACUCUAGAUCUGCUCUCUAUGAUGUAGUUGUGAAAACACUUUUAUUUGCAUUUACAUUCAUUUAUUUACAUUUAUUUGAACAGGAUUUCCAAGAUGGCCUUCCUGGAGAUUUUAACUUGGACUUAGUGACUUCUAUCAUAUUUACCUUCUAAUGUCUUAAUUCCUUCAUCUACAAACUUCCUUGCAGCAGGGUCAUAUACAAUUAGGGUCAUAUACAAUACCACGGAGCAAUACAUAGGAGCCACAAGCUAUAACACUCACUGAGCCAUGGAGGCAAGUUUGGGUCUUCCUCAAGCACAAUGAAUCGCUAUUAGAAAUGAGUAAAAGCGGGCUGGUGAGAUGGCUCAGUGGGUAAGAGCACCCGACUGCUCUUCCAAAGGUCCAGAGUUCAAAUCCCAGCAACCACAUGGUGGCUCACAACCAUCCACAACAAGAUCUGACUUCCUCUUCUGGAGUGUCUGAAGACAGCUACAGUGUACUUACAUAUAUUAAUAAAUAAAUCUUUAAAAAAAAAAAAAAUUAAAAAAAAAAAAAAAAAAGAAAUGAGUAAAAGCCAAUCAUAAAACCUGCUUUAGGGGCUGGUGAGAU